GAUCCUGGCUCAGGAUGAACGCUGGCGGCGUGCCUAAUACAUGCAAGUCGAACGGAACUUUAACGGAACAAGACUUCGGUCAAGUGAAAUUAAAGUUUAGUGGCGGACGGGUGAGUAACGCGUGAGUAACCUGCCUUUCACAGGGGGAUAACGUUUGGAAACGAACGCUAAUACCGCAUAACACAGCAGAGUCGCAUGGCUCAGCUGUCAAAGAUUUUAUCGGUGAAAGAUGGACUCGCGUCCGAUUAGGUAG
rnacentral:rRNA from 1 species